AUUGAACGCUGGCGGAAUGCUUUACACAUGCAAGUCGAACGGCAGCACGGACUUCGGUCUGGUGGCGAGUGGCGAACGGGUGAGUAGUGCAUCGGAACGUGCCCAGUUGUGGGGGAUAACGUAGCGAAAGCUACGCUAAUACCGCAUACGACCUGAGGGUGAAAGGGGGGGAUCGCAAGACCUCUCGCAAUUGGAGCGGCCGAUGUCAGAUUAGCUAGUUGGUGGGGUAAAAGCCUACCAAGGCGACGAUCUGUAGCUGGUCUGAGAGGACGACCAGCCACACUGGGACUGAGACACGGCCCAGACUCCUACGGGAGGCAGCAGUGGGGAAUUUUGGACAAUGGACGCAAGUCUGAUCCAGCCAUGCCGCGUGCAGGAAGAAGGCCUUCGGGUUGUAAACUGCUUUUGUCAGGGAAGAAAUCCCUUGGGAUAAUACCUCGGGGGGAUGACGGUACCUGAAGAAUAAGCACCGGCUAACUACGUGCCAGCCGCCGCAGUAAAAC
rnacentral:rRNA from 1 species